rnacentral:rRNA from 1 species
AUACGGAGGGUGCAAGCGUUAUUCGGAAUCACUGGGCGUAAAGGACGCGUAGGUGGGUUGGCAAGUCAGAUGUGAAAUCCUACAGCUUAACUGUAGAACUGCAUUUGAAACUGCUAACCUAGAGUAUGGGAGGGGGAGAUGGAAUUAGUGGUGUAGGGGUAAAAUCCGUAGAUAUCACUAGGAAUACCGAAAGCGAAGGCGAUCUCCUGGAACAUAACUGACGCUAAGGCGUGAAAGCGUGGGGAGCAAACAGGAUUAGAAACCCUUGUAGUCC